GGAGGGAUGCGCCGAAUGGCAAGGCACCAGUCUUGAAAACUGGCGGGUGCAAACCCUUGUGGGUUCGAAUCCCACUCCCUCCG
rnacentral:tRNA from 1 species